rnacentral:rRNA from 1 species
CCAGUGAUAAACUGGAGGAAGGUGGGGAUGACGUCAAGUCAUCAUGGCCCUUACGAGUAGGGCUACACACGUGCUACAAUGGCGCAUACAAAGAGAAGCGACCUCGCGAGAGCAAGCGGACCUCAUAAAGUGCGUCGUAGUCCGGAUUGGAGUCUGCAACUCGACUCCAUGAAGUCGGAAUCGCUAGUAAUCGUAGAUCAGGAUGCUACGGUGAAUACGUUCCCGGGCCUUGUACACACCGCCCGUCACACCAUGGGAGUGGGUUGCAAAAGAAGUAGGUAGCUUAACCUUCGGGAGGGCGCUUACCACUUUGUGAUUCAUGACUGGGGUGAAGUCGUAACAGGGUAA